ACUUAGCGGCGGACGGGUGAAUAACGCGUGGGUAACCUGCCUUACACUGGGGGAUAACAGUUAGAAAUGACUGCUAAUACCGCAUAAGCGCACAGGGCCGCAUGGCCUGGUGUGAAAAACUCCGGUGGUGUAAGAUGGACCCGCGUCUGAUUAGGUAGUUGGUGGGGUAACGGCCCACCAAGCCGACGAUCAGUAGCCGACCUGAGAGGGUGACCGGCCACAUUGGGACUGAGACACGGCCCAA
rnacentral:rRNA from 1 species